rnacentral:rRNA from 1 species
UCCGUGUGUCGUCGUCGCGACGCACGAGAGGUUCGAGUCUGGCGUCAGGACGAACGCUGGCGGCGUGCCUAACACAUGCAAGUCGAGCGGGGACAUGCGACGGAACCGGAAGUUUCGGAUGGAAGGCGAAGAUGUAUGUUCUAGCGGCGGACGGGUGAGUAACGCGUGAGCAACCUGUCCUUCACAGGGGGAUAACACAGCGAAAGUUGUACUAAUACCGCAUAAGACCACACCGGGACAUCCCGGAGGGGUCAAAGGAGCAAUCCGGUGAAGGGUGGGCUCGCGUCCGAUUAGAUAGUUGGUGAGGUAACGGCCCACCAAGUCGACGAUCGGUAGCCGACCUGAGAGGGUGAUCGGCCACAUUGGGACUGAGACACGGCCCAAACUCCUACGGGAGGCAGCAGUGGGGAAUAUUGGGCAAUGGGGGGAAACCCUGACCCAGCAACGCCGCGUGAGGGAAGAAGGUUUUCGGAUCGUAAACCUCUGUCCUUGGUGAAGAGAGAGAGACGGUAGCCAAGGAGGAAGCCCCGGCUAACUACGUGCCAGCCGCCGC